rnacentral:rRNA from 1 species
CCUACGGGCGGCAGCAGUGGGGAAUAUUGCACAAUGGGCGCAAGCCUGAUGCAGCCAUGCCGCGUGUGUGAAGAAGGCCUUCGGGUUGUAAAGCACUUUCAGCGGGGAGGAAGGCGGUGAGGUUAAUAAUCUCAUCGAUUGACGUUACCCGCAGAAGAAGCACCGGCUAACUCCGUGCCAGCAGCCGCGGUAAUACGGAGGGUGCAAGCGUUAAUCGGAAUUACUGGGCGUAAAGCGCACGCAGGCGGUCUGUCAAGUCGGAUGUGAAAUCCCCGGGCUCAACCUGGGAACUGCAUUCGAAACUGGCAGGCUAGAGUCUUGUAGAGGGGGGUAGAAUUCCAGGUGUAGCGGUGAAAUGCGUAGAGAUCUGGAGGAAUACCGGUGGCGAAGGCGGCCCCCUGGACAAAGACUGACGCUCAGGUGCGAAAGCGUGGGGAGCAAACAGGAUUAGAUACCCGAGUAGUC